UUCCUUCUUCCUCUUCACAUAUAGGAAGCUCUGUCUUGUAGUCUAAUAGAAAAGGCACUACACUUCAGCCUGAUUAUUCAGUGCUUUCCAUUCAAAGGUGACUUUUUGCAGUAGGCCUACUGGAAGAGUUAGAAUCUAUUUCGAUGACACAGAAAGCAGAUUUGAAAAAUACAGUGUCUUUGAAUUUAGAAACUCAAUAAUGGGUUAUAAUAUAAAAGCCACUCCAAUUUUUAAAGCUAGCCAUUUUUUAAGAAGUAACAAAAAUUAUGUGUAACAGUAGUAAAGUGUAGGCAAAUCUUGAUAGCUGGUGGACUCAUAGUUUGAAGAAUGUGAAAAGUUUGCUAAGAUUUUACCUUGGUGAAUAAGUCAUUUCUAUUUACAGUUUAUCAAAUAAAAUAACAUGUUGAUGUUGAGUGUAGUUUUCUGCUUAUCUGGAUUAUAAAAGGAAGCUUGUGUUCACUUUUAAAUAUGAGACUUCAUUCUGGCUUUGCAAAUUGAGUUAUUUAAAAUACCUCCAUCAUGUUAGGCCAAUUUUAUUCUCCUUUUUCUAGUCCUUAGUUGUGAUCUUUGAAAUUAAAUUCUAAACUGGGCCAAAUAACACUCCUUAAUUGUAUUUCAUUUCUUGUUUGUACUCUUGGUCUCAUCUAACAUGGACAGUUUUCAAUUCCUGGAGUUAACUUAAUUGUAGAAUUAACUAGUAAGCUUUUAAGGUUCAAUUAUGCAUUGCUAUUUUAUCUUUAAUUUUGGUGGAGACACAACCCCAAUGUGUUGCCCAAGAUAACUCAGAAUCUUCCUGCUUUAGCUUACUAGUAGCAUGCGCGCGCAUUGUGUGUGUGUGUGUGUGUGUGUGUGUGUGUGUGUGAUGUAUGUUCCUGUAAAUAUAUAUAAAUGACAUUUUAUAUAUCUGUAACUUCUUUGGUGAAAAGUUUUCUGUUCUUUAUAAAGUACGCUUUGCAGAUGUUUAAGUCACAUUUAAAAAUUGGAUUUUUAUGCAAUUUGAAAGAAUGGCAGUGUGAUUAGUAACUUGAAUUGGUGAUUUCUUUGUCCUCGAAUUUCUUUUUCUAAUUCUUGGACUGUAAAGCUAAUAUCUCAAAUACAGGAAGAAGACAUGAUUGUUUUUGUCUAGCAAGGUUCUUGUUGGAAAGUGUUAUAUCUGCCAGAUGUGGAAGGUCUGUGUUCCUUAUUCAGAAAUCACUUUGGAGCUCUUACUAUAUGGGGAAGUAUUGAUAGGUAAUGAGUACUAGAGGACUUAUUAAAAUAAAUUUUUAAAGGCAAUUGCUUUCAUCAGAGCAGAAAAUAGAUUUUUCUUGAGGAAAAUUUUUGAACUACUCUGGAAAUGAUUUUUGCUUGAGUAUUUUAAUCUGGAAGUACUAGCAUGAUGGGUAGCUGUGCAGCUGGGGAAAGAUGAAAACUUGAUUCUGGAUCUGAAUAUUUUCAAACUCCCAUCUCCUUCAUGUCUUCAUUAGUCUAACGUUAGUGCAGUUUGAAAGAGGAAACUCUUGUCUUCAGCUCACCUGCUGGCUUCAUUAAUCAUAAACUCUCAGCUUAUCCCUAGCUGUUUAUUUGUUGAUUCUGUUUAUAACUUUGCUUCUGUUACACUUUCUUUUUUUUUUUCUAUAACACUUUCUAAGCCUUGUUUUCUUCAUUGUGUUAUCUUUUGGUUUCAAGUAGUAACAGUAACCUUGCUAGACAAAAAUAGUAUGUCUUGAAUAUAGUACUUCUAACUGGUAUUUGCAAUAUUAGCUUUCUGUUCUAAGAAUCAGAAAGACAACUUGACAAAAGUUCAUUCCCCCAAAUUUGGUGAAUUAGAGUGCAACAAUUUAUUUUUUCUUGGUUGAACUGUUUUUUGUUUUUAGUUUUUUGAGGAACCUCCUUACCAUUUUUUCAGAUUAGCUUGCUAAUUUAUAUCCAUCAAUAGUGUGGUGUUCUUUUUCUAGUUAUCACUAACACUUAACAAUUCCUUUUGAUACUAGUUAUACGUUUGAGUUGAUAAUUUCAUUAUGAGUUUAUCAGUAUUUAUAACUGUGGGGUUUUUAUUGUUUAGUGUUUAUAGAUGGGCAUAUGGCUCAUACUUGUAAAUCCCAGCCCUCAGAUGGCUUAGAAGGAUUGCAACAAAUUCCAGGCCAGCCUGAGCUCCAAAGUAAAGCCUUCUCUCCAGCAAACAAGAACAACAAAAAGCUCCCAGGUGCUAGGGAUAUAGGCAUGUGCUUACCCAGACCAAUGUCAAACUACUUUGGAAAACUUACUCUUUGUAUUCUUCCCCUACACCCUCACUUUGAAAAAUGACAUUGUAAUUCCAAUUAUUGAACCUUUCUGGAAUGGUUUAAAUGCAUACUGUGUUUCUUAUUUGCCUCACUGCUUCAUUUGACCUUCAGAGUCUCUUAUCACUGUCUGGAGUCAGUCUCAUAAAACGUUGAAAUGUGGUUGCACUGGCUCUUUGUGUGUUCUUUUGACUUUAUGAUUAAGUCAAUUUUAUCCCUUCACAGUCAGUUUAGUGGUUUUAAAAGCAAGCUGAAACAAAA